GGCACGCCUGCCAUCCUCUCUGCAACAAGCAGAGUUGAAUGCUCACAGUACAGCUUCCCGCUCCCCGCUCCUGGCAAUCUGAUCGCGUCUUGUGCACUGCCCAAGAGCUCUGAGAAACACAAACUCCGCAGGGAUUAGACUGUGCCUGGGCUGUAACCUCAACUACAAAGGAUUCUGUGCUGCCUGUACCAGGAAUGGCAAUCACGACUUUGUUUCAAAAGUUGUUUAUAAAAAAAUUUUUUUUAAAGUUGUUUAUAUUCAAUCUUGCAGCUCUUCCUUUAUUUCAAAAGGGUUGUAACAACUACCUUGCUAGUUUUGCCCACCUUGCAGCUAUGUUUUUGUUUCAGAAGAUCUUUAGGACUAACUUGUUAUGAUGUUCUGCUCCUGUAACCCCUGCCGGCCAAAUUCCCCAUUUAGACAUCCGUUUGCAUAAGCUGUGAAAGCCGUGUCUCCCUCACAUCCAAUGCUGAGUGCUCAAGCCCCGACUGGGGGGGAGGCAGCCAGUGUAUAGGAAUAAAAAGGCUUGCUUUGAUUAA